CCGCAAAUGCCUCCGUUUACAGCCCCGAACUUCUUGCCAACAAAUAUGGGUCACGACCUGUCCAGGUUAGGCCCCAGAAAAAUUGAAAAAAAAAAUACACUGAAAAUUUACUCUAAUAAUAAUGAUAAUAAUCAAUUCAAAAUCGGUGUAAUCCAAUUAAGUUAAUUUGGUUAUCUAUAAUAUUUUGUUUGAUUUCAAUCAAUUUUUAGGUAAGCAUAUAUAUAUAUAUUAAAAUUAACCAUUAUCAUUCUUCAUCGCUCUUAAAUUCAUCACUAUUCUUUUUAAAAAUGCAAGAAAUAAUUUAUGGUUUAAAUUUGAACAUAAUUCUUCUAUCUUUUAUUUAUCAAAAAUCGAUCCUCUUGUUAGAGGUUAAUUAUUGAAUAUUGGUAAAAAUUCAGAAUUAGGGAUAAAAUUUGAUUGUGAACGAAUGGAAUUAAGAUGGGUUUCGUGUUUGGUUAACGGCGAUGGAAUUGAUAUGAUGAAUAGGCGGCGAAAAGGACAUUGGAAAUAUUGGUAGCCUUAGGCUCAUUUGCUUUGCAACUGUUGGUGGAUCAACGGAACGGGACAUUGGAUCGAAACAAGAGAAAGCGAGCCAUUAAACUAAAAGGCAUAUUUACCAGAUUAGGGCCCACAUUUGUAAAACUGGGUCAGGGUUUAUCCACUAGACCCGAUCUCUGCCCACCUGAGUAUCUCGAGGAGCUGGCUGAACUCCAGG
rnacentral:lncRNA from 1 species